CGGGGUGGAGCAGCUUGGUAGCUCGUCGGGCUCAUAACCCGAAGGUCGUUGGUUCAAAUCCAGCCCCCGCAACCA
rnacentral:tRNA from 1 species